CGUAUUAAUAGAAUAUAUAGUAUUCAUAUAGAAUAAGAAUAAAAAUGAAGACAAUAAAUCGGAGAUUCUUUCUUUCUCUUCCAUUCUUACGUUUCCAUAUUAAAGUAUAGUUUUCUUACUUAAAUUUAAUAAUAUUAAUCUAAUAUGCCCAUUGGUGUUCCAAAAGUACCUUACCAGAUUCCCGGAGAUGAAGAAGCGACUUGGGUUGACUUAUACAAUGUUAUGUAUCGAGAAAGGACACUUUUUUUAGGUCAAGAGAUUCGUUGCGAGAUCACGAAUCAUAUUACAGGUCUCAUGGAUCAUUCAAACGUUAAUUUUUAAUUACAAAUAUGACUUAGAAGAUAAUCCAUUGUGUAACAUACGUUAUUAUGUUUUAUAAAUAAAUGACGUGGAACGCAUAAAAGUGUACAAGUCAUUCAUAACUUGAACAUCCGAUUGUGCUGCUAGGUGUUCAACUGUUCAUCGUCUCUGCUUUCUCCCGCUUACUUAAACCAAGGAUGGCGGUGUUGUCUCCUAUGGAACUGAUCCAAUGAAUAUUAACGCUGAAUUUGGUAUCAAGGUAAAUUAUCAUAAUCUGGUUUGUUCAAAACAGUAAAUCUCCGUUUUCCUAACCAUUUUAUUUUCAGUUUUCAUGUGUGUUUCUGUGCGGCAUUUUACAAACUAAAUUUAACACAGCACAUUCCAGCAAAACCGCAAAAUAAACUAAUAUUUAUUCAUAUGAACGGAGGGAGUAUUUAACAGUGUUAGAUGCCCGAUAAUUGAAGUAACAAAACUUGUCAUGACACGAUUCAUGUAAGCAAUGAUUUAUGUGUCCACACUUCAUUACUAAAAACCCCUCUCAUAUAAGAACAUAAAAAAACAAUUAAGAGGCCUAUUGUGCAAUCUCCGUGUAAUCCACUACACAAGGUCGCUAAGAAUUGAAUGUUUUCUUAUGAACGUCUUCAAAUUCAUAAGAUAUUGUUAGAAGUAACAAAGAAGAGAGAGUUUCCUUGUCAUAAUUCUCUUUUUCUGCUACUUCUUACUUUCAUCACAUUUCAAUAUUUAAUUUUAAACAUCUGUCUGGUAUGCUUAGGAGACUUUCAGGUACGUUUUAAGAGACUUUCGUUCCCUUUGUACAAGCGUCCGCAGCGAUUGUACGGAAAGGGUUGUUUGCACAUGACAGGCCUAGUAACCCAGUAGUUUAACAGUUUCUAUAGUACAAGAACAAAUGCAUUAUGAAUUUCUGAUGGGAAUGGCCAACAAACUGCAUGCAUCCACACACCUUCAAAAAUUGAAUAAGCACGAGGAGAAAAACAAUGAAAUUAAAGAAUCAUAUAUGCGCAUCAAUAUCCCAACAACUUAUCCCCAAAAGCAAAAUAUAGCAUAUGGAGCAAAAAAGAAUAAUUAACAACAAAUUUGAGCGAGAGAUAUCCCAAAUCAGUUAGUUAAUCCAUGGGCAUGGCGUGAGCCGAAAACGACUGGGGUAGGUUCAUAUAUGCAUAUAUUUAGUUAUAUGCUCCGAAGCUGCUCGUGUAAAUGCUGAUCUUGUGCAUGAAUUGAUCAGUGAGCUCGGCUUUUUACGAUGUCGAGGCUCAUCUCACUGGGGUCGGUGGCCUGGAUUUCACACUGGAUGCCGUCCAUCUCCCUCCUGAACCUGUCCUUGGAGCUUGCAUAAAGCAUCUUGCUCCUUGUUCUUGCUGUGUCAGGAGACCUACAUUGUAAAAAGGAAGGAAAUGCUCCAUCAUUCUUAAGUGAAGGCACAUAUAAAGGUUCAUGCUAUUAAAUUCUACGCGUGUGAUGGCGUAUACAAAGGAGUGAAUGGUACUAAAAUGAUACGGAGUAUGAAAAAUGCUGUUAGCUAGGUAUAAUACCAAGGUAACAUGAGCCCCAAUUAAUCAAUCUCCUGUAAGGCUGUAACCGUGCAUGCUUUGCUUAUUUCAAUGCAGCUACUGAAAGGAAGUUCCAGAACGUCCAUUAAUCUCUAUCGGAAAACAUGAGUAAAAUUAGUGAACUAUGUUAUUGAUUCAAGAAUAUAUAUUCUGAUUUCACAUUUCAUGCCUCGAUUGUAUCAUAUGUUCUCAGCACAGUAAGAUGUUCAUAUGCAACUUGGCUCAUAGAGCAAGCAAGUUAAACAUCCGAAUAUCUAAAAGUAGUCCAAUCAAAGAGGUUUAUCAUAAUGCACACAUCAAUGUCAAACACGGACAGUUGGAUCUAAAUGGUGUUCAGAAGGGGCCAGGUUGAAUGAAUACACCCGUUUUCCAAACUAUAAACUUUAAAUGGCAUUUAUAUAUCUGUGUGUCGCGUUGCUAAGAUAUUUCAGGGAUUGUGCAAUAGGUAAUGGUCUGUAAAACUUCGCAAUGACGUUUAUCCAGACGCCUGCAGUAAUGUUGCAGAAUAAACAAUUGUUUAAAACUGACAAAUUGUGAAUCAUAAUCAGUUUCUUGACAGGAUUUAUGAUUCACAAUUUGUCAUUUUACAUAUAGUUUUAGAAUGUACACUUUUAACAUAUUGUUUUAGAAUGUACACAUUCAUUUAAAAAUAAUAACGUUAAUGUAUGAAAAUUUAUAUUUUAUUUAUUGUGUGAAAUGAUUCACUAGACGUAGACCUGCCUAAAAUUAUCAUUUUUCAUUAGUACUUUUUACUAAUGUGUUAUUAAUUAGAAAAUAAUGGCAAACAACUAAAAAAACGUGUACUGGAGAUUGCUGUUUGAAAGAUAAGAAGGAAUGAUGGAUGCAGUGUCAUUUUACCGCACAAUUGACAAGGCUAGCUAGCUAGGAGUUGCAAUGAAAGAAAGCACAAUCGCAAUCAUAUUAGUUCAUUCUAUGUCCACUUUACAUAUUGUUUUAGAAUGUAUGGGUUAAUUUGAUAUAUACCACCGCAAUUUUUCUCUGUAUUUAAAAAACACUACUGCCAUUUUCAUCUUCAAAAAGUGCCACUGCAGAUUCUUUGAAAAAUGCCACUACAAUGAUAUUUUUUGAAUUCACAAGCACUGCAGUGGUAUAUACCAAAUUAACCCUUCGUUUAAAAGCAAUAGCCUUAAUGUAGAUAAAGUUAUGUUUAAUUUAUGGUGGGAAAUGCUGUCGCUAAAAUUAAUUAUGUCUCAUUAAUACACAAUUAAUCAUGUCUUAUUGGUGUCAUUUUGCCACCCAUUUGACGGAAAAGGCUAGCUAGCUAGGUGUUUCAAUGAAAGAAAGCAUGCAUAGUCGCAAUAAAAAAAAGGGAAGGCCACACGCAUGUACCAGGAGAAGAAGAAGAUCUUGCUCUUCUGGCAGUUCUCGUCGGUGACGAAGUCGAGAUCAUAGACGGCGUAGCGACACUCGUCGGCGGGGAGGCUGUUGGUGAAUUCUUCGUAGCCGUGGCUGGUCUCGCCAAGACGCUCCACCUUGAUCUCCAUCGCCUUGUCGUCGAUCUUGAACACGAUGAACCUGAAGCCCCUCUUUGUCUUGAGCUCCGAGAACUUGAUCUUGCACUCAUCGUUCACCGCAAGACCAGAUGCAGAGUUGGCCUACAAUUAACAAUUAAUCCACUCAUAUAUGCACAUUCAUUGAUCAAGAGCCAGUGCAUGCAUUACUUUGCAACCUAUGGAGAUUAGAAAGAGAGACAGCUAGAUAGAUAGAUUAGAUAGCGAGGGAUCGAUUUAGGGAGAGAUCACCAUUUCUGUAUGUUGGCUUCAAAGACCCUGCACAAUGCGGGAGAUCGAAAUGGAGCUUGGAGGGAGAUAAGGGAGGGAGGUGUUAGUUUGCAAGGAAAGGGGAGGAAGGAAAAGUUUGUGCGCGAGAGGAAUGCGGUGGGGAGGAGCGAGAGACAAGGGAAGGCGAGUGAAAAAUAGCCAACCACUCAGUUUGAGGCCCAUGCAUACAAUUCUUGGAGGCUACGAACAUUUGACUUGGUCCCUAGCUCGUUGGUGCUUAACAAAAUAUAAAUCACUUCUUAAUUUCUUGCCACCUUAGUGCACUUUAGACAUAUUCGUGCAUUCAAAUAUCAUCUAAGAACUUACAAAAACAAUACUCCUUCCGAUUCAUAAAAAAUGUAUACAAAUUCUGUAUUAAGUUGAUGACAUUUUUUAUGAAUCGGAGGACACUUGACCUUGUGUCACCCCCGUGGGCCAUGCUAGCUAGAGGUCAAACCCUAGGGCUCCAUCGCGCUAGUUCGCCAUCAUCUGUGUGUAGGAGGAGGGCUAUUUGGCUUGCACAUUGCUCCUUGGCGCUAUAUGUCUGGCUGUGUGGGAUCCUUUCUUGUUUCGAUGGCGUACGCUGAUCGAUUGGAUGCGGCUACACAUGUAACAAUGUUCGAUUCCGAUCUCGAGGAUUGGUUGAUGGAGUUCUAGGUCAGCUUCGAAACCCGAGUGCAGGUAUUCAGUGGCGGUGGUUGGCGUUGGGGUGCUGUGGAGGCCGGAGGCUUUGCAUGAAGCGACAGUUAUUAGGGCUUAAUCUGUGGUGCUCCUCGAAGGAUCUGGGUGACUGGGUAGACUAUGGUUCACACAUGGCGGCAAUCACCUAAUAGCGCAACGUGGCAGGUCUAUGGUGGUCAACUAGGUAGCGACACAUUGCAAGAGGCUGGUCAGUUGGAGCUGCUUUGGGUGCGGAUCCAAGGUGGGUCAAUGGCCCAAUUUGGUCCUGAUGGAGCUUUUGGAUCGCUCCCCAUCGGUUCCAUUCACGGGAGCAAAUAUGCUUUCUUGCUUUCUCCUCUAUUCUAGCGCGGUCGUACCUUUUCAGUUUUCUCGUGGGAUCAUGGCAUGUUUAUUUUUUCUGUUCAGGUCUGUGGACGACUAGCAUGCAUGGUGAUUUACAUGAGUACGUGCAUGGCUGGUAGAGAAGGAGGGUAAUGUCAUUGGUAAAGACGGCAACGGGGCGGGUCUGGACGGGGUCAACCAAAUCCAUAUCCAUCCACAAAAAAUAUCCGUUGAUGCAAAACAAUAUCCACAUCCAUAUCCACAAGGUGUCCGGGUAUCUAUGGAUUAUCCAUAUCCAUGCAAUAUACAUCAUAUACGGAAGCAUAUGCAUCAUCAUAUACAACAGCAUAUACAUGAGUAUACAACAACAGUAGGAUAGCUAACUAAUAGACCCACAUAUCAGGGGUGGGAGUGUGGGACUGAGGGAGAGGAGGGAGUCAGGGUUAGGGUUUGAGUGGGAAAGAGACUAUUUAUAUGACGGAUAUAGCUAACUAAUGGACCCACAUAUCAGUAAUUUAUUUAUUUUAAUAAAUACCGGAUAUCCAUGGAUAUCCAUGAAUCAAAUGUGAUAUUCAUGCCCGUUUCACGAGUUGGCGGUAUCCAUUCGUGGAUAUGCAUGGAUCGAAAACCCGCUCCAUACCCGCAAAUCCAUGGAAUGGAUAUCCAUGUACAUCCACAUUUUGAGGAUUCAUUGCCAUCUUGAGCCAUUGGCAGACAGGGAUGGAUCCAAGGGGAGGGGGGGGGGGGGGCUCCGCCCCCCCUAAGAAAUUUCAUUUUAGUUAAUACUUACUAAUCAACUCAUUAAAAAUCACUUUAAAAUAGGUGAAGACUCUAAUUUCGCCCCCCUCAUGUCAAAUUCCUGGCUCCGUCCCUGUUGGCAGAUUCAAUAGCUAAAUAGUGUUUUUUCCCAAUGAAAGUCCAUGGUCUAGUUUUCAUGGUCUAGAUCAAACAACAUUGACAUAUUGCAUUAUACCUUUUUGUUGAAUGGGUGUUGACACAACAAGCUUGAGCGGAGGUCACUUUUUGAAGUAGGGAUGUCAACGGCGCAGUAAAUUGCGCCGCCAAGCCCGCUUAUCUAACUCCCUUAGAGUUUUUAGUUUUAGUUUUUUCUUUUUUGCUAUCAAAGGCUGAUGUGGGCAGGGCUAAACGGGCUCUAACCGGCGGCCGUUUACAUCCCUAUCUUUUUUUUUUGACGGAACCUCGUCAAGAGGGCAGGGUGCUCCUGCAUUUCAUUAAGAAGAAUAGAAUGGCUCCGUUUAUUUUGGAAAACUGAGCCGAAAACCACACAAUGCACGGCUUAUUCAAGGAAAGCCGUGCGAAAACCCUAACAUCGAGCAUUACAAAACAAAACCGACAUACAAGUCACAACUGCAAAAACGAACCGCCACCUGCUCCAACGACGCCGGACAGGGAACAACUCCUAAACGCCAGAAGAAGGUAGGCAGAGCUAGGCUUCUCCAAUGACCGGAACAAAGAAGAGGUUGCCUUGACAUGUGCAGCUCAUGAAUCGGCGAGCCCGUGCUACUCGAUGCCGCAAUUCCUGGCAGGCCUCAGCUAGGCUCAAUGCAGGAAAUGCCCUGCCGCUAGACGAAGGCUCCAAAGGCAACGCCUUCAAGGAGGGUACGACAUCCGAAGACGCCGCCAUUGCCUGGUCCAGAAAACUGGAUCUGAGCUUUCGCUCGGAGACACCUCGACUGCCAGUUUACAUUCCUUUCUUGAAGGCUCUCAUUUGGAGUACCAUGUUCUCGUCUAAUUACUUCCUCGAUGUUGUGCUAGUGAAUAUUAUUUCCGGUGUUAAAAUAUAGUAGGAGGUACGUAACUGACGCCAGGCUAAUUUCCAAAGAGGAUGGCCUGCCGUAUAUUUUCUUUUAUUUUUCCAUCUUGAUGCUUGGGUGCUUUUACUGUAAAAUCAUGGUUGUAUGCAUUAGCUAGGAUGGAGAGGCGGGGAGGUUCACCUCCCUUUUGAAAAAAACAAAAGGUUAAGGACUUAUUCGGUUUACAAGAUUUUGAAAUCACAAGAAUUAAAAUUACGACCAAUUUAGGCAUAAUCCUUAGAAAGGUUACAUCUGUAUACAUAGCAAAAAGAUCCUAAAGAUCUUUAAAAAAAUCAUCCAAAACACCUACAGAUCCUUAAGUAUAUGAACUUCACAUAGGUGCUCAAUGACUAUGGAUGUAUUCUCUCAACCACGAAACCAGAAAAAUACAUUGGUGUCAUUGCAUAUUAUUACAAGUAUUUCUCUAUUUAUAAAAAGAUUAAAGAAACCAUUGGUGUUAUUUGACACCAAUAAUUAUAUGCUGGCUACGCCCCCUAAAGAAACCAUUGGUGUUAUUUGACACCAAUAAUUAUAUGCUGGCUACGCCCCUGCUCUCAAUUUAAGCACUUACAUCUACGCCUUGUCUAAUGAAUUAUUUUGUACAAGGAAAAGGGAACAUGGUCCAUCCAUAUGCAAAAAUCUUUGUGUACAACCACUCGUACAAAUUUAGUCUCUCUCCAGGUUACUCCUUUACAAGAGAGAGAGUACUAGAGCACUAUGCAGUGUUGGUCAAAACCCAUAACUAAGAAGGGCCUAAGAAGCUUUAGAACCGGAUCUAGCCACUGCAGCAAGCUGCGCUAAGAAAAUUUCCAAGAUCGGGCGCAAGUACUUACCACGGCAAUGGAGCUUGUGGCGCUCAUGUAGGGAUAGGUAGCUGAUGCAGUGGUGAAAGUGAAAACUUGGAUUGUUUUGUUGUGCUGCCGGUUCUUCAUAUACUUGUUGGUCGGAUGAUGGUUGUUGGGUGUGUUGUUUGCUUGUAUCGCUGGUAACCCAGCUGAAUCUCCGGGCUUUCUAAUAAAACCGGGCUGAAAAAGCCUUUUUUCUAAAAAAAAGUACUUACCACGGCUCCAGGUAAAUAUAAAACUAUUGUUGACGACUUUGGUGGGGUCAACCAAAGCUGUAUUGAGCAAUAUAUAUGUACACAUACACAGAGAGCUCACAAACGACACAUCAAAAUGGCUGAGGUUUUCAAGCUCAGUUUCCUUGUUUUGUUUUCUGCAUAUAUGUGCUACCAUGUAUUUUUUUCUCCUGACUUUAAUACAAGCGCAGUAGGAGCCUGCUGUUUUCCCUUGUAAAAAAAAACAACACAUCAAAAACAAAUGAAGCCCAAUCAUUCAUCAAAUGGAGAGAAGUGCAGUUCCAAAAAAUAAAAAUAGCCUAUACCAACAACACCUCCAAGCUGCUGCCAUGAACCUGUUUGCAUCCUCUCAAUAUCCCUCCAAUCUGCAUCCUCACCAUCCAAGCAUCAAUCCCUUUGGUCAGCACCGCCAGCUCCCUGCAUACAACCAAGGGAACAUGCAAGUUCCAUACCAAACCAGUCCAGGCCACCCACACCUACCUACGGAGUCCAGCGGCUUAUUUGGAGCUUAUGGAGCAGGCAUUUCAGCAUCACCGUUCAAAUCCGGCACCUUCUUUGAGGGCUACGGAGCAGGCCUUUCAUUGUUGCCGGUCGAUUCCGCAUCUCCAAUGUCUGCAGCACAAAGGAACAUACAACAUGAAGUGGAACAUGAAGAAAGCAAAGAUAGCAGUCCAGAUCAAGAAAUAAGAAGAGGUCACAGUAAUUGGACAAAAAAAGGAGAACGAGAGAUUGAUCAACUCUUAGAUUAAAAAUUCCGUUGAUUCAAUUGAAGGCAAUGGAAAGAGAGGUGAUUAUUAUUGGAAGCAAGUAGCAGAGGAGCACACAAACAAGUGCCCUCCGCGAGAGAAAGCCUUUACUUUUAGUGGGUUGGUUUAGUUUGUGGUCUGGCUUGGAGCAGAAAAUAAGAUCAACUUUGCGAUGGACAAAAUAAGACAUGUUUCAAGCACGACAAUCAUGCAAAUAGCUAAAGAUGUGGAUUCAAGAAAGGAUGAGCAAAAUAAGAUACUUCCUCCGUCCAACAAAAGAUGUUUCAACUUUGACUAAAUUUGAAUGCAUCUAUACACUAAGUCAUGUCUAGAUACAUUCAAGUUUUGACAAACUUGAGACAUCUUUGUUGGAUGGAGGGAGUAUGUUGUUUUCUGAAGAAAAUUUAAAUGAAGGACGCGAUCCAUAAAUAACAUGAUGGGAUCCCAUAUUCUCAAUUUCUCAACAUAGUUGAUGCAUCACUGAUUACCCACAAUAAACGAGAGACAAAAUAAGGUUUUCAUUGUCCUUAUAGCCACUGGCAGGCACAACACACCAACCUAAAUACAGAAUAUUGCAUUAGCACACAUGAUUUGCUUAUAUUUUUUUUUUCUUACAGAAAACAUACUACUACUACCAACGCAAAAGAAAGCAAGAGAAUACAGAAAGAGGUAAAUGGGAACCAAAAACAUGAAUGUGUUAGGAAGAAAUGGAAGAAACAGACUUUUGUUAUCUCUUUAAAUGGUUCUGAAUUGUCCCUGUAUGAGAAUAAUGAAACAAAAGGCCAUAUGGUCCUAAAAUCAUAUAAGCUUCUUAAUCUUAUAGACCUUUUAGUUAGGAGAUAAUCACUUAUCGACCUCACAGAUCUGGAAAAGGCACCAUGGUUAUGGCAAGAGCAUUCCCGAGGUCAUUUGUUCUAGUGUGCUACAGCCAAAAAACGGCAAUUGCUAGUACAUGAAUUACACGAAAAGUGACUCCUGCAGAAGAGAUCAAUUGAUAAAAAAAAACCAAAGACAAAAUUCUGAUUAAUUAACUAAAAGCUAUGUACAUCAGAACCUGAAAUUAGAAACACAAACAAAAAUGGCAUGUACUCCCUCCGUUUCUAAAUAUAAGAAGUCCCAGCUUUGUUCUAAGUCAAACUUCUUAAGGUUUGACCAAGUUUUUAGAAAAAUCUACCAACAUUUAGAACUUCAAUUAGUUUUAUUAAAUUUGCCAUUAUAUAUAUUUUCAUAGUAACUCAUUUGAUAUUGUAGAUCUUGGUAAAUGUUUCUAGAAAGUUGGACAAAUUUUAAGAACUUUGACUUAAGACAAAGUUAGGACUUAUAUUUAGGAACGGAGGGAGUAGAAGUUUGGCAAAAUUCUGAAGAAAUCUACACUAGAACAGUAUGGGAUGAAGUAUACAUGCGAAUUUUGGAUUAAAAUAUGAUUGUGUGCAAAAAAAACAAAAUGGGCUUCUGCUAUAGUGGUAAACCUUGAACAGUAAAUUAUCUUUUUUCUUAAGGUUGUAAAUGCUUUAUUUGUUAACCAAAAUUUACGGGUACAAACUUGACCCCAUAGUGUAGAUCUACCGAUGUUUUCAAGAACUUCUAUGUGUCAUUUUAGUUCCCCACAAUUUGAGUACAGCGAACCUCAGGAUCAGAUUAUUAUGUUGCCUGUAACAACAGGCUUGGCAUAUUGAUGACCAAAAGGAAGUACUCAGUGAUCAGCAAGUGGAUAAGUGCCGCAACACAGUAGGCCACCAUCCUUGAUCUGCAGUGAGGAAUUUACCCCUGAUUUGUCUAGAGGAGAAGAGGUUCCGCUCCCUGUUGCAACGCCUUUCCUUCUGCCUCCGCCUUCUGCAGCUAAGCCCGAAUCUGGUUUAGUAAAAAUCAAGUGAAUAGUUAGAUGUACUAAUAUAGUCACCACCGUUGAACGGAACAAAACUUCAGAAUAUCGUUUUCAGUGGAUCAUAAAGAUUCAUAGGUUCAAGUCAAGUCACCUGCUGCCUGGAUUCCCAUCAAACACCCUAGUUGCCACAGAUACGAAAAAUCUGCACAUACAAACAUGCAUGUGAUCUGCCUGGAUUUUCAUCAAAUGCCUUGUCGACAUAGAUUAAAAGAAAUGCACAACCACCAUACAAAUGUACGUUAUUGUGACAAACUGAGAAUUGCCGCAUAAAUAAAAGGAAAGUUCAAUUCGUAAUGGAAACCGAAAGAAAGAUAAAUCCGUAAUGGAGCAUGGAUCAGAACUUCUCACAACUAAAUGAGCUGGAGGCAUGCUCAAGAGGCAUACGUAAAAACAGUUAGAAUCUAAUAUUGGUUGAUACAAAAUAAUAUUAGCAUUCAAGCAUUUCGAAGUGUUUGAAUAGACACGGUGCCUACAAGUUGAGGUUAUGGUCCUUAUCAAUUCAAUAAACAAUCGCUCCACAAUACAAACAUCAGUUCUACAGGCAUAUCAGUCUACAAUGCUAAACAAUGCCGUGAAGUACUUAGCUAUCAACAAUGUACCAUGACAAGAAUUUAGGAACGGAUGAAGUAAUUAUUAUAUUUAAAAUGAUUUGCGUCUACUAAAAGGAAAACCUGCACUGAACCCAACCCUGCAUCUUUUAGUUCAUUCAUUUGUUGAUAGCUACAACCAUUACAUGUUCAGAACUGGGGUUAGCAAUAAAAGAAUGAUUGUUUCCUUAGGCACAAUUUGAGAAGAAACUUCAGAGAAAGCUAACCAAAAGCAAAUGGCAAUUUACAUUGAUGAAGUUGUGCUACCGAGGAGAGUAUAAAAAAAUCGAUAGGUAUGUCAUACCUCAAGCGCUCUUUAAUUCUUUAUAACAUAGAACAAUAUUCAUAUCAUUUUCAGAGUUCGCACAUUAGAAGGAAUAAAAUGGGUGCCAUAUUAGACAAAGAGGAGCAGAAGAAACCUUCUGACGUGCUUCACUGCACCCAUCAGAAUAGAGUGGCACGAGAUAUAUUAAUUUCACCUGCAACAGUAGAGCAAACUGAAGAGUUUUACCAUUUGCUAAGGUGAUGCAGAAAUAAAAAACAAUGCAAUUACUACCAGAAUACCUUGUUGACCUGUCCAGAAACACUCUUAGUGAAUGCCAUAAGUUACAAAUAAUUUACAGAAGGGAGCAACCUGUAAAGGAGAUCUCUCCACUUGCAUUAGUUGUUGACUUGUUGUUUGCAGGAAUUCUUUUGCUAUAGCGCAUGGAGUGUCCGCACAGUGAAAUUAUGAAACAUACUCUAAUCAAGCAUAAAUUAAUUCCUCGAGAAUCUUACAAGUGCCGAGCAAAUUUCUUUAUCCCCACGUAAACUACCAAAGCAAGAACCGGAAAAAAAAACAAAAUUCUAAUACAAAAAAUUAUUCAGCACUUCUAAUGGAAGAUGAUCUCAUCGAAUGACCUUAGCAAGGGCUCAACCACAUGAUGCAAAACUGUCCGGCUUUGGUAUUGAGAACUAGACUUCCCAAGGAUCAAGCCUAAAGGUCCGGUAGCCAUACACUUUGUGUGCAAUGGAGCCCAACAAAAACAACCAUUGUAAGGAUUGGAAGCUCGGAUGAUCAAUUUCCUUUCGGGUGUUGUUUGCCCUGACCGACUACCCAUCUGUCCAAAUCUUCAAAUCGAUCGAUUCCUGCUCUCUGCCAGCUGGCAUAGAUUUUCUCUUUCGUCAAUUUGGAUGCUCCGCGAUUCCACUCUUCGGCAGAUUUUUCUCUAGGUCAGAAUCACGGAAAUAAGAAAAAGUGCUUUAUGCAUGAACCAUUGUCCGGAGAACACAAGAAUAUGCAUGAACUCAUUUAGCAUUUUUAUUGUUGAACACACAACAAGAAAAAACAAACUAUUAAAAAGAAUAUGACUUCUUAUUAACUUGAAUAUAACCUGACCUGUCCUAUCAAAAUAAAUGUAUGUAACUAUCUACACAACUUGGAAGCACUGACCUUAAUAUUGCAGAAAGUGCUCCUUUCAAGUUUCAACUGCUGUGAAUUUGCUGACCACUAUUGUCCAUCCUGGAAUUUUGGCAAUGUACAGUAAACCACUGGACACAUUGCAAUUCGCAAGUAUGAUUCUUGCACUGAAAGGUUUUCUUCAUUUUUCUACUUUUUCUCCAGACAAAUAUAACAACAUAUGAUUUGGCACGGAAACACAAACAGCAUACCUGACUGCCUAAGUGAAAAAGUCAUCAGUGGGACUUCCCUGUCUUGCCUUGGCAUUCAAUAGCACUUGGCGGACCGACUCACUUGUUUGUACACCAGCACGCACCAUGUCAUCAAUCAGAGCUUCAGCUUCCGAACAUUUACCGUCAUUGCAAAGAAUACGGAUUGUCAGGCCAUAACUAGCGGAAUUUGGAACAAAGCCCUUUUUCCUCAUCUCCAUAAUUAAUUUCAUAGCCUUGUAAGAGCUUCCUUCUCGUCCAUAGCCAUAAAUCAACAUGUCAUAGAUGACAUUGCCCACCUGAAGACCUUUCUCGCCUAUUGACUGGAACAAUUUUCUGGCAUCCUUCAUGUUCCCUUCCAUGCAGAGAGCAUGCACCAAAACACCGUAAGUGCGCACAUCCACCUCUAAACCAGCCUUCUCCAUCCCUGCAAACAUCUCAAAAGCCUUGUCCAUGUCAUUCUCCCGAGCAAAUGCAUCAAUCAGUAUGGUGUACGUCACUUUUGUGGGUGCCAAUCCUCGCUCCUUCAUGUCAGAGAAAGCCCUGUUUGCACGGAUCAUAUCUCUAGCACGACAGAACCCGGCAAUAAGAGCAUUAUACGUGACAGCACUGGGUUGAUACCCAGCCAUCCUCAUUUGGUUGGAGAAAUGCAAAGCAUUGGACAUCUUCCCAGCUUUGCCAUAUCCAUCGACAAGAAGGUUGAACGUCACGACACUUGGACGGAUACCCUCUCUUCGCAUCAAUUCCAGCAGCUGGGUGGCAUCCUUCAUCUUUCUAUAUCUGCAUAGCCCAGCAAUGAGAGUGUUAUAGCUGACAACAUUGCGUGUGAUACCCUUUGCAGGCAUUUCUUCAAACAGGAGGCGGGCACGCUCAAAUUCCCCAGUCCUGCACCACUCACCAACCAAAAUGUUGUAGGUGUAGAGAUUUGGCUCAAUUCCACCUAUCCGCAUCUUCUCAAACAAGGCCAAGCCCUUCUCUCUGCGUCCAUGGAUGAAGUAACCGUGGAUCAGAGCAGUGAAAGUGACCUCGUUAGGGGUCAAUCCCAAGCGCGGCAUUACGUCGAACACCCUCUGUGCUUCCGCCACGUCGCCGCUCCUGCAGUAGCCGUGGACGAGCGCUGUGCACGCGGCCACGUCCAGCGUCGUGUCGCCCGCCUUUGCGCCACGGGCGAGCAAAGCGAGGGCCGAUCGCACCUCGCCGGCGGCGGAGAGACGGCGCACGGCUACGGCUGUGGUCGCUGCCAUGGGGGGGAGAUUCACCUUUUCCUGCCCUUUUCUGAAGUUUGGCUUGGUUCUGGUAAGAUCUCUCUCCCGGUAACCCUGAGUCAGCAAGCACCCAGGCGACAAGAACACUGCAAACCUUCACGAGGCUGCGAUGUGAUCGAGCAGUUCUUAAUCUCUCAUCUCAUUUCAUCAGUAAGGAAGGGGGAAAACGCACCUACAACAACGCCACCGCGCCCGUGGUAGUUGCGUCCGUGGUAGGUAGGCUCGCGAAAACAACAACCGCGCGCUAUCCCCACGCGUGAUCACUGCCGCGAUUAACUCCAACUCUCCCGAUGAUUUCCAAUCCCGCAAUUAUCUCCGCAACCAAAAUUACAACAAUGCCACCGCGCACGAGCACGAUCGAUAUGCUCCCCCGACCGAGGUGGCAAUUGGCAACUUUCGUGCGCCACCGUUCUCCCUUCACCGCACCAAAUCCUCCCUAGCGGCCUAGCGGCGAACGAAGAUGACGGCUGCUGCUGCCUGUUGGCCACAGCCGAGGCCGCGUUCGGCAGGGGCGGGACCGGGCCACUGGUCAUCGGCAGCGUCCCUCGCGCACACGCCUUCGGCCGCUCCUCCUCUCACACAAAGCAACGGCGGACAACGACGACAAUGGCCGCCGCCGCCCCCUGUUGGCCAACGUCGAGGACGCGCUCGGCGGGGAACAGCACCGGGCUUCGGUCCGUCAUCGGCUUCCCUCGAGCGGCCUUCAUCAGCGUAUGGUGAUGCACCUCCCUCCUCGUAUCGGUCCGCCCCCGCGCUCUCGCCCCUCUCACCCCGCGCGCCGCUCCUUCUCUCCCCGCCUCUGUGCACCCGCUACUUCAGCUUCCACCUCUGAACGCCCACCACGGAGCUCGCCGCCCCGACAGGCAUGGCCAACACGGACGCCGUCCUCCGCUCCCUCUCCGUCCCUGCCUCCCGUCUUCCCGAUCUGCGUGGGCGUGGAGAGCUUCCUCCUCUGCGGAUCCAGCCGCCCCGACCGGCAGGGCCACCACCAGCCGCCGCCGGCCAUCCUGGAAGAUCUACUGCUGCCAAAUUUGUUGAUGCAAAUCGGUUUCUAGGUCCUUCAGAAGAUAUGUAUCAGGAGAAGAAGGCAUUAUACAAGCUAAUUUCAGGAUUGCACUCCUCAAUUUCUGUACACAUUGCUUAUUACGGUUAUAUUCUAGACGAAUCUGCUAACUUGGUGUCUACCCACCACCGUACAACGUCCUGUUCAUAGUGCAAUUAUGGACUGAAGAUUUUGUUUUCUGUUGAUGGAGAGAACAAUUUGAAUCAACAGGUAUGGUGUUCUUAUCUCUUUGGGCUACCGCCAGUUUGCAACACAAAGUAAGAUAGGGUAGAUGCCGUGCGUUUGGUUGGUCCAUGUUCCAGCUUGAGAGCAUUCCCCAACAUUUUGCCUUUAUAUGACCCAAGUUACCUGCACAUGAUGCUUUCCCAUAUUGGUUACCUACAAUUUGCUGUGGAAUAACAUCUUUCUUAAAAAAGAACUCUGGCUCCUAUGUGAAUAUUGAAUAAAUCAAAUUAUGGAAGUUAGCUCACGUGAGAGAAAAAAACACUUACGUCUCUUUGAGUGUUUGUUUCUCUGAAACUAUCUGAAUCUACCUUUUGAAUUCAUUUAAGAUGUUCACAGUGCUGAUUUGUCUUACAAUUUUUCUUCUUGGUUAUUAUUCAGUUCCGUCUGCAGCUAAACGAGGUCAUUGCACUGGUAAAUCUUCUGAACGGGCUGUUAGAAUCUGUCAAAUUUGCGUACAUGAAAAAUGACCAUCCACCGACGAAGGAAUUAACCUGAAUCUCAACCGUAAGUGUUACCUCUUGCUCAUCAGUGGUAUUGAACUAUUGAUUUGUGUUGACCACUUGAUGUCUGCUCGUAUCCUUGCAUUCUUUCGUCUAUUUGAAUGAGCAUUCUUUCUUAUCAAACUGUGUGAGCUAAGGUUUUUCACAUUGUAUGAUGCAUAUAUUCCUUGUAAAGUUUUUCGGAUUCCGUACAUAUGAGAAAUGAGAAAUUAUGUUUUCUCUCAAGAUAUAUAUGAGAAAUAAAAGGUAUAGGUAAUAUCGGGAUACCCUGCUAUGAUGGGCGUUGUCUUUUUGUUGUGAGUAGUUCCAUAUGAGCUAUUUGUUUUUUUUCCUUUUCGUGGUUUGUUCCUAUACUGUUCCUUAUGCAUAUGGUAACCAUGUUUUUUAUGAAAUGCACGUCAUGGUAGUCUGUUCUCUUCCCCCGUUUGAUCUACAUGCCUUGUGGUGAACUGAGCUUAUUUUGUCUUACACACAUUCAUGAAUUGUUUUUGCAAGAGCUCUUUUACGGUGAUUGUCGUGUACUUCUCAGUAUUUUUCGGUACUCCCGCCGAAAUUAAUUAUGUUCGUUGAUCUUUACUCAGAGGUUGUUUGUUUCCCUGGGCCGCAACUGGCUAACGGGCUGUUUGGUUUCCCCGGGCCGCCGGAUGUAAUGCCCGUCUCUCUCCCUGCAUCGAUACUCUUCCUCGCUCCCCUAGCGUCGGCCGCCCGAGCGAGGCCCCUCCGCCGCCCGAGCCCUUCUCGUCGACCACCGGCGCGCCGCCCCUCCGCCACCGGCACUUCUCCGCUGGCGGGGCGCCUCCUCGGCCGCCCACGCGCCUCCGACAAUCGUCCAGGCGGCUCCCGCGGAUGAAGCCGUAGCCCAGCCAGGUCCACCACGGCGCCAUCCCCCAUUGGCAGGUCUGAAGAGGCAUUGGACGGUGACGAUGCGGACGGCUCCUUGCAGCGCCCCUGCCAUGUCCUUCCUUUGACUCGCGGCGACCUCCUUGACUGCAGCGACGGUUGAGCUGCCUCCAGCAACGGCGACCGUGGAUACGUCUCACCCUGCCGUGUGGUAUUGCCCCAGGCGAUGGCUACUUGGGCUGAAUUUGGGUGUUCUGUUGUGCUGAUUUUUUUUGAACCAGCUGCACUGAAAGUUUUGCUGUACUGAAUUUGGGUGUUCUGCUGGCUGAUGAUGUAUUUUUGAAGAUGUUGGCUCCUGUGUUGCUGAAGCCUGAAGCUCCUGUGUUGCUGAAUGUACAGAAAUUUAUGGUGUGCGCUAUUUUAGUUCUUCCUCUGUCCCAUAUUAAGUGAUUCAAAUUUGUCCAAAUAUGGAUGGAUCUAUGCUUAAAAAAUGUCUAGAUACAUGUCAUAGAAAGUCACUUAACAUGGGACGGAGGGAGUAGUUAUUUAGGCAGGCUUUUCAAUCUGAAUGUGAAUGUAGAAAAAUCUCAUGUAUUUUGGAUGUGAAUGUACAUAAAUUUCAUCUAUUAUGUCAGUGUAUGGAAAUCUCAUGGCAUACAUUUUGUAGCAUGGUUCUGGUCACCUCAUCAUAGAAAUGAAACACUUAUCUUUUGCCGCAAAUCAGGUUUUCGGUAAAUCUGAUUGUCUUUGUGCCAAAGCAGACACAUUUCUGGAACAUAAUAAAUUACGACAAGGCCAAGGGUAGGUUUUGUUGAAGCUCCACAAUACAUGUCAAACUGUAGCUUAUCUCUUGAUAUGAAUACUAAAUCUGAAUGUUGUGUUUUGUGUUGAUGAGAUAUUCAUAUUCAUAAACAAAAAUGUAAACCUAUUGCCUAAGUCUGAAUGCUUCUUGUUCACUAAAAGAUGAGAUUUCAGUACAUUGUCAUAAUAUAUGAGAUCUCAGUACAUAUCUCAUUCCAGAAAUUUCUGUACUAUCUCAUAACACCAUUGCUAUUUUGUACAGCAGAUAACAGCUUCAGGUUAAAGAGCAGACACAGGUUCAGCAAACAGCAAGCUUUAGCAAACAACAAGGACCAAUUUGAAUUCAGGAAACAGCGAGCAUCUAAUUUGAUUCAACAAACAAAGAGCAUCCAAUUCAACUAAGCUAACAUCAGUCUUCCAUUUCAAUUUAGCUAACAUCAUGGGGACGCCGCCACCGUUGCGUGGGGCUGCUGCCACCAGAGCAUGGGGACGCCGCCUGCCCGUGGUUCUGCCGCUGUCGCCAGAGCAUGGGGGCAGCUCCACCCGCCCCCGUUCCUGGGGGAUCCUCUGCCCGUGCGUGUGGUUAAACCUCUGCCUCCAGCGCAUGGGGCCGUGGCUACCGCCGCCUGCGCCUGUGUACAGCGCCGUCCGCCGUUAGCACCUACACAAAGCCGUCGGCCGUCGGCCUCCUUAAAGCUCGGGCUAGGUAUUGCAAUCGACACAGACAAGAGGGUGCCGGUUCAGAGCAGAGGGAAAGAAACAAGUGGUUUUUUCUCAAAAUCGCGUUAAAGUUAUGGGUGGGAUUCCCACCUCUCAUCUGAGCCGCACGUCGCAUAUCUAAUGGCGAACUAUCGAUUCUUUUAGUUUAAAUAUAAAUUGAUAAUUCUAAUACUUUCCAGUACUUUUGUUUUAGUACUUUUCAGUACUUCUUAUUUUUCCACCGUUCGAUUAAUUAGGUUGAACGGUUCAUAAAAUCGCCAACCACUGUAAAACCUGUAUUUUUGCAAUUAUCAAACUGCCAUGAUCACCAUUUUUGGUCCUGAGUCAGUGUUCCUACUGCUGCUCCUGAAUCUGGGAUCAGGUGGAUGGACCUUUUUCCAAAUAUUCACCUGGUGAUCGAAUAGAUAAAUUUAAGGAACCUGAUUUUGUGUACAAUGAAAAGAUCCCACCGUGGAAAUCAUUGCAAAGGAAAUACAUAUCAUGUUGCAAAAAUUGAUAUCACGAAAAAAAUGUCUUUGAAAUAUUUCGUUGUAAUUUUUAGUUAUAUGGGUUGCUUCGUAAUUCCUUGGAUCCAUGAUCGGAAGCACCAUACUACUUGUAAAGACUAUAGAGUUUGAAUAAACUUACUUGUAUUCUCAAAAAAAAAAAAGCUAGCUACUCCGUAAAAGCAACGUACAUAUCUCUUUGGUCCUUUUGAUAUUAACGUCCCUACGAAAAGGAAAUUAAACUGCAUGGGCGUGAAGGAAGAGAAAAAAGAGAAAGAGGACGAACUCCCUGACAUUAUUAGGUGGUGGUAGUAGUAGGGGUAAUAUGUGAUAUCCAUUCAUCCAUAGCGACUGUGAAUUUCUUGAAAAGAAACGACGUCGGCGCGUACUGAACAUCGUAGCCUCGUACGUAGUACGACGCAGUAGGAACGAAGGAACUCAUGGCGUACGUGCACGAACCAGCUGCCACCCGAGAAUUAACGACCGUUGCAGAAGAGUCGCAGGCGCACCCAUAUUGGCAUGGCGAUCAUAACACGAGUACUCCAUUUCCGAGAGAUCGAACAAGAUUACAAGAAAGGUUCUCUCCUUUUUGUUUGUACCCCGGCCGGUUUGCGCCAUUUCUGACCUAAAAAACAUCAGUUAUAUGUAAUCGGAGGGAGUAGCAUUGGUCAUGUCUACGGGCCUUUGCCGACAUGGAGCACACACGCACUUGAAUACUUGAUCGACACGAAUCUUCACCGGUGGUUACGCUUCUCCACACGCGCCGUGUUAGCUUAGCUUAGCUAGCUAGGGUCAAAUCUUGCGCUCUGGCCGGCCGGCCUCGCUCCGUACUACACAGACACAGUGCUGUGCUGUGCUGUGCUACGACAGUCGACAUUAUUAACCUGCAGCGCGACCUGGCCUGUGUGCGUCGGCGGUCAUCGAUCGAGGCCCGGUCGUUGUCGUACGUGCUGGGCCACGAGCUCAGGUCGACCAAAGAGAGAUUGAUUAAUCGGCAAGUCAUCCACAGUGGAGAGAGGUCGAUGCAUCAGUCGUCGCAUCGGACCCGCCAGCCGGCCCCCACGCGUUUCUGUCGUCCACGUACGGGACGCCGACGCGCGUCGUCGCUCCUCUCGAGGCCUCGGGUGGUUAGUUAUCAGCUACUACCUCAGUACACGAGCCACGCACGUGCCCUAGAUUAAUUACAAAUUUAACUAUCAAAAUAUAAAUUAUAUUUCAUAAAAAAUAUAUCAUUAGAUUCGUAAUCAAAUAAACUUUCUAAUGGUGUGUCUUUUAAGUCAUAUAAUUUAUAUUUUGACAGAUAAAUUCACGAUUUUGGAACACAUGCAUGUCUCGGGACGGAGGAAGUAGCUGGCUAGCCCUUUUUCCUUUGCGUUUAAAUGAUGUUUACAAGGAAUGAACAUUCCCAUUUCCUCUACUAGCCUAGGUAGUUUCAGAAACGAUAUGAUGCUCGCGAGCUAGCCAACUAGCGUGGCAUUGUAUUUGUAGCUAGCUAGGCUGCUCGAUUUACUUGCCUUUUAGCCUAGGGAGAGCGUCGUCGUGUUCGAUUCCAGGAUCGGAGUACCAGACGGCGGGACAAAUUGAUCGACCACCUCAUCGAUCGAUUUAAUUUCCUAGCUCAUGCUAGAUCUCACUUUUGCUUCCCAUCGUAUGACAACUGUAAUUGCCAAGGCAUAUAUUGGAGUACAAAACUAUGUCUUACUGCUACUCAUUUGGAUGCUUUACAAUUGGUUGAUGGUGCACGAGAUAAGUACUAAAUUUUUGUCAUGAUUUUAGUUUGAAUUUAAACUAAAACAACGAUAAGAAUUUAGAAAAAAAACGGAGGGAGUAUGCAUCAACGAUGUCUAUGUAUUUUGAGAAAUACCGAUUCUGAAGACCUUCCGUGUGAAAUUAUUGGAAUUUCAAUGAACUCAUUUAUUUUAUUAAAUGGGGUCUCUUGAGACCAUUUCUUUCAAAAAUUAAAGGUAAAACCUUCCGCCUACAUUUUCAGAUGCACUCAACAUAUUUUUAUUAUUAAAAAGGAUGCUAGAAAUCAAGGCCAAUCAAAUCAAUAAAAAGGAAAUUUUGGUAUCAAACUUCUUUAGUACAAAGAUGGCAUCACAACAACCAUCCGUCAACGUGCCGCCAUCCUGCAUUGCGGCUAGAGCUGCAAGUUUGUGACCCUCAGGGUACCCAUUGACUCUCCUUAGUUCAACCAAAUGAACUGGUUUUUUCAAAAAGUUGUGUCAUUUUAAAAUUUUAGUUCAUUUGAUUGAACUAAGGAGGGUCAAUGAGGACCCUGAGGGUCACAAACUUGCAGCUCUAAUUGCGGCCCAAACCCCCUACCGGGGUGUACCGUCAAGUCGAUAAGGUACUACAAAGCCACACAUACGUCUUUGGAGACAACUACAUGAGCACCAUGCCGACGACCGUGUCAUCUUCCCGUGAGAUCCUCAUUUAUCCCCUAUCCCCUCACCGCCGUCUGAGAAGGAUACCAGGCUCAUGUGGCCAACAAUGAAGACGGUGGCAAGUUUUUUUUUUCUUUUGUCCAAGAUUAUUUUUGACACAUCCAUAAUUUGGAGAUGAGCAGCGAAAUAAUUUUAAAAAUCGUACUUAAAAUAACAAGCCAAAAGAGUUUACCCGUAUAGAUGCUUAAUUAAUUAAUUAUUAGGUUAGCUCAGCCCCCUUUUGUCAAUUAAUAAACUAUUUUGUCACGAGCAGCAAUAACUCGAAACAAUAUGAAACAGGGGGUGCGUAGAAAACAUGUGAUGUCAAAUGAUUGCAGCAAUUAUUUACUCGAAACUCUGUUUUUUAGAGAAUUUGUUUCAACACUCAACCUUGUGCGUCGUGACCCGUACUCUUAUUCAUCCUCCACCACCUGGUCAAACGUCGUGCAUGUUUUGUGUAAAAUAUUGCGCACUGACACCUCACUGAUUAUUAACUCAUAAAAUAGGAGUACUUUCAAUCCACAUAAAGUGUCAGAAGUUUAGUGUAAAGUUGUAAUAACUUUGUACUAAUUCUCAACACUUAUGAGUUGGAGGGAGAAACACAGAAGAACUGAUAUUUUAGGCAACCUUGGUUUCUUCUCAAAAUUUCUCUAGUCACAACUAAUAAAGAACGUGCAUGCAUUUUCGUGCGGACAUGUUACACUUUUUAGAGGGGAAUUCGAUCGACACAUCCCUUUUUGAAUGACUUUUGUGUGGAACAAGCAUGCAGCUACAGAGCUACUCCGACUCGUAUUUUCUCUUCCCAAAUGAAAUGAAACGGAACAGUACUAGUAACUGGCAUGUGAUUUCUGUGUUGACUUAGCUCAGACUUGCUUGAAGUCCUAGUCCACGUCAACUACAAUGAAGCGGGUGGGUGUUAUGUUGAUAUCUCGGAUCUGGACCCAUGCGCUCCUGCUUCUUUGUCCUGCGCAUCCCUCUUUCUUCUUUUCUUGCCAUCAUUCAAUCCUAGCCAUUUACCAUUCUCCGUAGCUACUAAGCUGCUGCUGGAGCCCACAACUUGACCACCACUUCAAUUGAGAGCAAAUGUGUUUUUACAGCUGUAUUAAAGAUAACAUACGCAGACAUAUAGGGAAAAAGAGUGCUUGUUAGAAUGAACUCCAUUUUUUAUUAAACAAGUUUGUAAUACUCUCUUUUUUAAUUGUCUUGACAGCAACGGUUAGAAAGGGCCAAUCAACUUCUUGACCAGCUAGCCUCCAAUCACUUCAGCUUCGAUCCUAUCCCUUGUUUGCAUCGGUGCUGGACCGUGUGGCAAUUCGUUUUUUAAAGAGUGGAUUUUAUUUUUGAUCUUUAAGUUUACACUUUUUUUUGACAGGUUUAAUCCUAUUUAGUAUUUAGCAAAACUUGUGCACUAAUGACCCCAUUUAAGUUUUUUGUCCUAAUCCCCUCCGUCCUGACAAGUGGGACCUGCCUGAGUAGAAGACGCAAGAGAGGCAGAGCGAAAGAGAGCCCGUCGGGUCAGGUGUGUGGGGUUUGGGUUGGGCGGCACCAGGUCGAGUGGGGUUCGGAAGAUGCCUGGGUUGGACAGGUUCGGUUCAUCUCUGGCGUGCCAGGCCGGUUCAUUCGGCCGGACCGAAACAAAUGCAGCGAUGCGGAGGAAGCGCACAUGAGAAAAUACCUGUCCGACGUGGAAUGCCACGUAGGCCUGAAACGUGGGCCCCACCUGUAAGCCGGAGGGGAUUAGGGCACAAAAAUGAAAUGGGAUCAAUAGUGGCAGAAGUCUAAAAAAAUGUUAGGUUCAAGCAUAUAUCUUGUUGAUCAUACUAUGGAGUAUAAAGGUGUUAUCAUGUUGUUUCUGUUUUAGUUUACAUGCCACAAUAGUUCUAUUGACCAAAAUAAUACAGGACGUAGCCAAAAUUACAUUAAUCAUGAAUGGAUUAAGAGGAAGCGAGAAAGCUACUCCACUCUAGCCAUAUCGUAACCUAACACGUGGCGCAGAUGCACGGUAGUAAUACUGGUGAUGUCAAGUCAAGAAAAGAAAAUGGAAGCCACGCAAAAAAAGAAAAACUGCGCAUGCGUGCAUGAAAGGAAAACACAGAAAUGAUAUCAUUGCUAGCUACAAAACAGUCAAAACUAGGACUCGGCUUGACCGGUGCAAUAAUAUAUAAGGAGGACUUAAAAAGAUAUACAGUAGCAAAUAUAAGCAAAAUUAUCGUGAGAGGAGUCCAAGUGAAGAUUAUAGAGCAGGGACCCAAAGAAAGAAUUAAAGCAAGGGAAGCACUAAGAGACAAACAAACAAGGCUGGCCACGAUGAAAGGACGAGGUACGAAUACGACGCCAACCAAAACCAGGCAAAACUCACCCAACUGUGUACGUGCAUUAUUGAGCUCUCUCGCUUAAUCUAAGGAUAAAAUCACUGCUGGUGAAUCAGCAGUAGGUACAUAUACACAGUUCAAUUCACCGGUGGGAGAUACUAAUAUAUACGAAGUACACAGUAUGGCUCAUAAGGCACCAUCCGGCCUUUUUUUCUUUCUUUUUGUAGAACGGCACUUUAGCACUCCGCGCGUGCAACCACUAAAAGUUACUUCUUCCGUUUUAUAAUUUUUGUCCCAAAUUUGCUCAAAAAUAAAUAUAUUUAUUUUUAAAAAGUGUUUAAAUACACGUAAGAUUUCGACGAGAACUAUGAAACGAAACGGAAGUAGUAAUAAACUUUGGAGGCCCUGCGAAAAACAAAAGCUUUGGAGGCACCUCCGCGGCUCCGAACCUGUAGACUGCAUGUACAGUCCGGCCGGGACCAUUACCAUUUUUCUACUCAUUAGACUAUGAUAGCCCCUUUUUAGCUACGGGUCUCUCUUGACAGUUCACACGCUCCCUUCUCCGAUCCUCUCUCGCUCGUUCCAAUCAAUCUCCAAGAAACAAAACCUGCGCUAAUCCAACACGGCAACAACCAACCACGGCACCCAGACGCCACAAGAAGCACAGCCAAACAACCAUGCAUACAUGUGUUUCUCGCUCCACAGCCAUAGGUUAAUAAGCUUACUAUACAAACCCCCAACCCCACCCCUCUCCAUCUCUCUCCUCUAUUCUAUCUCUCUCUCUCUCUAUGUAGCCAGUUGUCUGCUCUCGUCGCAGCAAUUCGCACGCAGGAUACCCCGGCCGGUUCUCCCUUGUUCUUGAAUUCCAGGUCAAGAACUCAAGCUAGCUGCUGCCUGCGCGCGCUGAAGCACGUCGUCAAGGUUACUACUGCUGCCUGCCUCUGUCCUCUAAUUUUAUUGCUUAAUUUGUCUGUCUGAAUUUCUUGUGCUCCUCCAUGUUCAAUUUUCUCUGGCGACUUUGGUGAUGGUUGAUAAGUUCAAGUUUGUUCACUCCUAGCUUCUUCUUCCCUCUCUCUGUUUUUCCUCCUCUCUUUAAUUGGGUUGCUCAGAUGACUGAUAAAUUUUGGUCUGAUGAUAUCCGGAUCCAAAACUUCCGAGUCCCUUUCUACUGUGGUUAUUGUCUAGCGUCUUAGGGAUGAGUUAUCUGAAAAUCGAUCAUGUGGACUGCAAUUUUAUCAUCAUAGUUGCUGUCUACCAUUUUUCUUCUUCUUCUCGACAAGCUUGUCCCUCAUGUUUUUACGAAAUUCAUCCUAUACUAUACACGCUCUCGAAAACAAAAGAAAUUCUUGGGACUAAAUGUGAACCAGAGCCAAGUUCUCCAAAAAAAAAUGCAUCUAAAAUUUGUUUUUGUCAAUCCAGAUCUGCUCCCUUGGCUGGUACACCUAUGCUUCCUGUUGGCUACUAGUACAAGUACGGCUUAGCAAUUAAUCAUCUGUUAAAUGAAGUGGCCGAAUUUCCCGGCGAUACCCAUGGAUUUGGUGAGGAUAUUUAUUGCCUGAUUCUGGUAUCUGGUGAUGGCCUCCCUCUCUACAUCCAUCAUGGAGAGCUUCCCCUAAACUCAAUGGCGACACCCCCACCAUACCAUAUUCUAUGGAGAGCUCCAUCACCUGCCUACCUUUUCGUCCAUGAUGUGCCACAGCCCCAUAAGCGUUUCAUUGAACGAUUCAGAUGCUACUUUUCCGACGUGCGACUUGUGCUGCUUCAUUUAUGCCAUCUCAUCACCCAUCCCUGUUAAUCAAGCUUUGCGUCUUCCACACAAACAAGUUGUUUUAAUUUAGAAUCCUUUUUCAUACCAACCCUAACCUCAUGCUUUCUUUCAUUUCGAUAUAGUUUAGAAUCCAAGCUUCUGUUAGGUUCCAAAAAUUGCUAACCGCUAGCAGCGAUUGUAGAGUCUUAACUGGUAAAUUAUACAGUCUUAAACUGGUAAAUUAAGUACAGUCUUAAGUCUUAAUUGGUAAAUUGUAGGGUAACGGGCAGGGAUACCUUUUUCUGUGCAUGUUAUUGUAGUGGACGUCUCAAUCAGAGAGGAGGUGGCCGGUGGCCUCUCGCUGUCUCUGCACCCACGUCUGGUCUACCAAAUGCCGCUGAUGGUCAUGCUUUGUAGGCUUUUAUAUACAUAGCAGCACAUUAUACUUAUGCAUGCAAUUUUCAUUUUCUGGGGGUGGAUUUAAGAUGUGGGAUUAGAUUUUGGCUGACUGUGUGUGCACCAACAGAUGUCAUCGCCAGUGUUGCAUUCCAUCGAAAAAGGAACAGCACUAGAUGAGUCAAUGAAUGACUGAUUGCCCAAGUUGUGAUGAAUUAAUACACCAAUUAUUACAAGUCAUGGCUUGCAAUGUUAAAAAGCCUAAAUUGGAAGCUCAAAUUUCAUAUAUGCCACAUGGUCUGAAAAACAACACUUUUUCUUCUUUAUAUAAUUUCAGUUGUUGUCAACACUUUCUAGUCGACUUUUAGUACCUGAUAUAUGGUUCAAACAAACCCUUGAUUCCUGCUACCAUUCGAUUCCUUGGGAACAAAAAACUUUUGAGGAUCACGAAGAAUAUUUCCUUUUCACAUUUCGUGCCUGGCAUCUUGAAACAAGCAACCGAUUCCUACUACCAGUAUUUGAUUCUUUGGCACGUCACUGAUUCCUGCUACCAAUGUUUGAUUCUUUGGAACUAUUUUGGGCAUCACCAAUAAAAUCUAUUGCACUUUUAGUACCUGAUAUAUGCUUCAAAUAUCCUAUUGAUUCCUUCUACCAAUGUUUUAUUCCUUUGGGAGUUGUGACGAAGUAAAACUUGUGGGCAUCCGCAAGAAUAUUUCUGCAACCAACUUCCAACUGGCACAACUUUCUUCCUUAUUUCCGUAUACAUUUUUCAAAACAGGUAGUUACAAGCUGCUGGCUUGUUACUGAAGUUUUUGCACUCACAGAUUACUAAAUACAUAUACUUGUUCCUAUUUCAGAUUAAGGCGAAUCAGUUCGGAGGUGGCGACCCAACAUGAGCAAUCUUAAGCUCGGUGUUGAAGUUGUCAGUGCUCAUGACCUCAUCCCGAAAGAGCAGGGGACAGCCAAUGCCUUUGUAGAGGUCGAAUUCGAUGACCAGAAGUUCCGCACAGCCAUAAAAGACAGGGACAUUAACCCUGUCUGGAACGAGCAGUUCUUCUUCAACAUAUCCGAUCCUUCACGUCUUCAGGAGAAAGAGCUCGAGGCCUAUGUGUACCAUGCAAACCGUGUCAGCAAUAACAAGACAUGCCUCGGCAAGGUUCGCAUCUCCGGUACAUCGUUUGUCAGCCAAUCUGAUGCAGCACCCCUGCAUUACCCUCUGGAGAAGCGCACAAUCUUGUCACGUGCUCGUGGCGAGCUUGGUCUUAGAGUCUUCCUUACAGAUGAUCCGUCAGUGAGGGUGUCCGCUCCAGGUCAGGAUUUUAAUUUUGCAAGCACACCCACCACUGCCCAAGAGCAGGCAACUGUCAAUUCUAUUCCAAAUCCUUUCCAAGAAACCAGGACAAAUGAAGUGAGGCAAUUCCAACACUUACCACGGGAACAGCAGCGACCAGCCCCGAUGGCGGGGCAGCAAUACUACGCUCAGGGACAGGGUUCAUAUGGAGAUCAGCAGCAGAGAAACUACGCCGCUGCUGGGAACAAACCUGAAGCCCCUCAAGUAAGGAUGUAUUCUGCAGGUCCACAGCAGCCUGUAGACUUUCAGCUGAAGGAGACAAGCCCAACGCUUGGUGGUGGGCGUAUUGUUCAUGGUCGGGUGAUGCCUGGUGAAAAGGCUGGGGCAUAUGACCUUGUGGAGAAGAUGCACAUCCUCUUUGUGCGUGUAGUCAAGGCCCGUGAGCUGCCCCACAUGGACCUCACAGGGAGUCUUGACCCUUAUGUUGAGGUGCACCUUGGGAACUACAAAAUGAAAACAAAGUUCUUCGAGAAGAACCAGAGGCCUGAGUGGGAUGAGGUGUUUGCAUUCCCUAAGGAAGUAGUGCAGUCAUCAACACUUGAAGUUGUUGUGAAGGAUAAGGACAUCCUUCGGGAUGACUAUGUCGGCCGAGUAAUGCUUGACCUGAAUGAGGUGCCUGUAAGGGUCCCUCCUGACAGUCCAUUGGCGCCAGAGUGGUAUCGCCUUAUGGGCAAGGAUGGGAUGAGGGACAGAGGGGAGUUAAUGCUCGCAGUAUGGUAUGGAACUCAAGCAGAUGAAUGCUUCCCAAGCGCCAUUCAUGCAGGAUCAACACCAAUUGAUUCCCAUUUCCACAACUAUAUCCGUGGUAAGGUCUACCCUGCACCAAGAAUGUGGUAUGUAAGGGUCAAUGUAAUUGAGGCACAGGAUAUAUUCACAAUGGAGCACCACCACAUACCUAAUGUGUUUGUAAAGGUGAGGAUUGGUCACCAAUUGCUGAAGACAAGGCAAGUUCGCUCACCAACCAAAAACUUCAUGUGGAAUGAGGAGAUGAUGUUUGUCGCAGCAGAGCCUUUUGAGGAUGACUUGAUCAUACAAAUAGAAGAUCGUGUUGCACAGGACAAAGAUGAGGUAAUUGGUGAAGCUAUCAUACCUAUCGCAAGGCUUCAAAAGAGGGCUGAUCACAAGGCGAUAGUACGCCCAGUGUGGUUUGAUCUGAGGAGACCAGGACUGAUUGACAUGAACCAGCUAAAGGAAGACAAAUUCUAUGCAAAGAUAAGCCUCCGGGUUUGCCUUGAAGGUGGUUAUCAUGUCCUUGAUGAGUCAACACAGUAUUGUAGCGAUCUCCGACCAACAAUGAAGCAGCUGUGGAAGCCACCAAUCGGGUUGCUUGAAGUUGGCAUUCUAAGUGCAAAUGGUCUUACCCCAACAAAGACCAGGCAAGAAAGAGGGUCAUGUGAUCCAUAUUGUGUUGCCAAGUAUGGUCAUAAAUGGGUGCGUACUCGCACAAUAGUUGACAACUUGAACCCUCGAUUCAAUGAGCAGUAUACAUGGGAUGUCUUUGACCAUGGAACAGUACUCACCAUUGGUCUGUUUGACAACUGCCACAUUGGAGGAGACAACCACGACCACGGCCACGGCCACAGCCACAGCCACAGCCACAGCCACAGUUCCCCCAGCAGUAUGGAUAAACCCAUUGGGAAAGUGCGAAUCAGGAUCUCAACCCUUGAGACUAGGCGGGUGUACACGCACACAUAUCCACUGCUUGUUCUCCACCCAUCAGGAGUUAAGAAGAUGGGUGAACUUCACCUUGCUAUCAGGUUCUCAGUCACAUCCCUGCUCAAUGUGUUCCUUACAUACUCACAUCCACUCUUGCCCAAAAUGCACUACUCCCAGCCAUUGUCAAUAGUCCAGCAGGAAAUGCUACGUCACCAGGCUGUCCAGGUUGUUGCACAGCGCCUGGGGCGCAUGGAGCCACCAGUUCGCAGGGAAGUUGUUGAGUACAUGUCAGACGCCCGCUCUCACCUGUGGAGUAUGCGACGAAGCAAAGCAAACUUUUUCCGUCUUAUGCAAGUAUUCUCUGGAUUCAUUGCUGCAGGGAAGUGGUUUGGUGAUGUUUGCCAGUGGAAAAAUCCAGUCACCACAGUCUUGGUUCAUGUGCUCUUCAUCAUGCUCGUCUUCUAUCCAGACCUCAUCCUUCCGACAAUCUUCCUGUACAUGUUCUUGAUUGGGUUGUGGAAUUACCGGUUCCGGCCACGUGUUCCACCACAUAUGAACACGAGGAUAUCUUAUGCUGAUGUUGCCCAUCCAGACGAGCUUGAUGAGGAAUUUGACACGUUCCCAACCUCAAAGAGCCCAGACCUGAUUAGGAUGAGGUAUGACAGGCUCCGGCAUGUUGCCGGGAGGAUACAGACAGUUGUUGGUGACAUCGCAACUCAGGGUGAGAGAAUACAGUCACUGCUGAGCUGGAGGGACCCAAGAGCAACAGCUAUGUUCCUAUUAUUUUGCCUGUUCACCGCAAUUAUUUUGUAUAUUACACCAUUCCAAGUGAUUGCACUCUGCCUUGGGUUCUUUUGGAUGAGGCACCCACGGUUUCGCCACAAGGUGCCUGCAGCGCCGGUAAACUUCUUCAGGAGGCUACCUGCAAAGACAGAUUCUUUGCUGUAAAGGACCUCAGAGAUCAGCUACUAAUGUUGUGUAAUACACUUCUUUGUAUCUAUUUUCUGUUGUCAGUAUAUUGUUGUAUUAUAGCAUCAGGUAAAUUAUCAUAAUAUGUAAUUGCUGUACCAUGUGGAACAAAAUAAGGCGAGUUCAUCAGAUAAUUUUGUGGUCAAAAGUUAAGAGAUUCAUUCUUUAAGCUGUAUAGUACAAGAUGUUCAUAAGAUGUUUGUACAAAAAAAGAGAGUUUCUAUGACCAACUAACCAAGUCAAGUUUGUCAUGCUCAAGGUAUAAGAGCAUUACAAGGUAAGCAUGAAACUGAGGUUCAUGAGAUCCUCCGCAUGUGCAUAUUUUUCUAUGUUGAACUGGAUGAAAGUUUUAUACACUUCUGCUAGCAUACAAAUUUUUAAUCUCUGAGCAUAAAAACUUUGCUGUAUUAUGAAGAUGGGCAUCAGAACCUUACUGUAUCAAGAAUCAAGAUAUGUUGUUUAUCUUGCAGGUCGCAGCAUGACUACAAACAAUUAAAUAAGAAAUCAUUCUUUGCACUUGUUUUGAAUAAGCAGCUUUACUCUCCUGGGCCUGAAGAGCAUAAUGGACAACUGACAUCAACAUCAAUAGUGAAGAGCUAAUCUAAAAAUAAUUGAUAUUAUACUGAACUCUUAUCGUUAUCAGUACAACCCCGUGACAAAUUAUCAGGCACAUGAAGUCCUCCAAAGAGUGAUAGAAUGAUUUGUUACCUUAUUUCAUAUGAUUUUCUAUUAGAAGCACUAACGGAACAUAUGAUAUUUUUGACUCAACAAAUUUACUGUACAGUCAGGGAAACUUUCGAGACAGCUGAAAACAAAUGGACAAUAUUUCUCAUUAACUUUGUUGAACACAGACAUUCAAGAUUUGUUCUAUACAAAAAGAAGAACAAAAUUUAGAUAAAACAGAUUUAUCAAUUCUUUACUAUGGUUUGGAGCAAACAACAAAUGACUCCACUUGGUACGACGGGGUCCUUAUGCCCUUAUACCACGGAGUAAAAUUGUAAGUCUUACUGGUACACUAUCAAGUUGCAAGAUUUGAACAUAGUACAAAGAUAAGCACAAAGCAACAUAGGUAAUGGAAAACAUCUGGAAGUGAUAAGAUGACUUCUUUGACACAAUUUGCACAGAUCACACUAAAUUGUGUCCAAGAAAAAAGGACUGUUUCCAACAUCACUUCAUAACACAUAUAGUCUUCGAGUACUGAUAUACAUAGACUUAACAAUAUGAGAAUGGUUCAAAUUGUUGGCAAGAAAACAGAAUUGGGUAUGAUUGAUAAGGCAGUGACAAUGAAAUAUAUCCAAGAGUGCGCACACAAAGAUAAGGUAACAUUUAUAAAAUAAAAUAUCUUUAUUGCCCCUUUUCAGUCUUACAGAGAAAAAUACCAACUUGUGUGGCCAUAGGUUGAAUGGCCCACUCUAGAAGCAUAAUUCAAGACAUAGAUCACAAGAAGGUAAAUGAUGGAAGAUAAGAAAAUUGUGAUUUCUCAACAAACGCAUACUGCCUUGUUCCCAAGUACACAUAAGGAAGAGUAAAUAAAGUCAAGAUUUAGGCGAACUUCAUCAUGCUGUGGAAGGGAAAACUUCUCUUUUGCUGAUACAAGCCACUUCAGAUUUACAGUAGUUGGUUGCCUUGGAACUCAAAAAUGUGACAGCUACUUGGUAAAUAAAUGUCGUCAAAAGUUCCUGCAGCACUGAACUAUAAGUACAUGGACACCAUACGGAAAAAAUAAAUAAUUGUAAUGAUGUCAAAGGUAUAUAUACAAGGAGCAUGCUGCCCUGAAUUAAGGCGUAUGAUAAGUCAAACUCAUGAUGUCAUAGAUAAACACCAUCAUUUAACUAUAUUAAUUUGUUAGCAAAGUACUAAAGACGUUCCAUAUUUUCCAAAUGAGUUAAUUAAUGUCAACAAGGGGCCUAUCAUUAGAACUAGUGCCUCCAUGCAUCGUGAAAAAUAAAUUGCACAAAAUCUCAUAGCAUUGGUAACAAAAUAGUCGGUAGUUGUCCCUUUUUUUUUUUGGGACAAUGUACUGAAGCACUUCCUGCACAUCCGUGCAUGUUAGAAAAAAAUGCAGUAAGUGAGGUAAAAAAAGCAUGUAAGUGGUAAUUACCUUGUAGAUGAUACUGAUAACAAACACUGACUACGGGAUGUGGAGCAGUCGAUCAACAGCCAAGUCUAGUGAAUCAACAUUCUUCCGCAUAGUCUUUCUUUUCAGGAAUUAAGACUUAACGUAAUUCCAAAAUGGGCAAUGCUAAAACGCUAUGAAACUAAAAAACACAAGCAUAUAUUCAUACUAAAAUGACCUUUCACCAAUUGAACAACACAGCUGCAGAGUUACAUGUUAUCAGCAACUAACAAAAGGAUACAGUUGCAUACUUAGGCUUUCCAAGCCUCUCAUUUCCUCAUUUAACCUGCAACAUUUCACACCGGGUCACCACAAAACACAAGACACAAAAUGAACUGACCAAUGUCAACGCAUAAAACAGUGCAUGGUUUCCAGAAAGUAAUACAUCUGUUGCCUACAAUGCCAUAUCUCCUCCAACUGCAACAAUUACAGUGCUAAAAGGAAAUCCAGAACCAAACGGGAUUUCUAGUCAAUAUUGGUAGUAUCGGGCAGUAUAUGAUUUAUCCUGAAGUUGCAAUUUAGUGAAAAAAGAAUAUCUCUGAAAUUAGUUACGGAGACCACUACAAUGCAGGGUGUGUACAUUCGCACUGCACUACCACACGUAGCACAGCCAAGUGAAAGAUGAAGACACUAGUUCAAAGUGAUCACCUGAGGCACGAAUUGAUGUACUUAUUUCCUUUCGAAGACGCUUCAAGUGCUGCAAAAAUGCAGUAGUAACAGAAAGUAAGAGUACGAUUUUUUUUUCCUCUGCAACGAUAAAAUGAACAACAGAAAGUGCAGAAAAAAAAACUAUGCAAAUUCUACAGUCCAAAUUACAGAAUUAUAAAAAAAGGGUGUGACCAUUGAACGCAAACAGUCUACAAUUUUAGACAUUCAGAUGCAGAUGAUACAUACUCCAGAGAGCUUAGUAAAAUUCUGAACAUGCUCACCUGAUUCUUGGAGGCGACCUACGACUUCGCUCAAGCAGUCCAUGUUCUCCGCCGACGUCGAUGUAACCUUCUCGUGUGUGGAAGCGGCAGAAUUAGGCGCUGGGUGAACUGUAACAAUCGGAGGAAAAAAAUCCUGGUUGUGCUUAGAGUAUGCAUACGUUAGAGAGUGCGAUGCGGAGGGAGGCGAAGAGGGAGGCGUAGCUCUCGGCGAUAGCGGCGGCGUCUCGCUCCACCGCCAACAUCGCCGCCGCCACCUCCCUCGCCCCAGGGGGAGGUGGGGCUGCCGCCGUGGGGGCAGUGGAGGGGGAGGAGGAGGAGCGGGCCGGCGAAGGAUCCUCCUGAGAGGAUUCCUCCUGCGCCGGCGGUGGGUUAGGGGAGGCGUCGGAGUCGGAUUCCAUCUAGUUCUCUUCUCCGGCUGGGUUUCUGCGCCGAGGGGAAGGAAGAGCAGGGGCCAGGGGGACACUUGGAACGUUUUUCCUUCGGCUCGGGUAUUGCUAAUCUUCAGAGUUCAGACCACUAAAGCUAGGUCGACCUUUUUUUCCCUGAAAAAAAAAGCUAGGCCGACAUUUUGCCUGUCAGAUUCAUAUCUUUUGUUUGUCACCGGUGUUUUUUUUAAUGUUUUCUAUGUUAUUAUUCGCCCCAAACAGUAAACACUAAAAAUUCCAAAUGUUUGUUCGGUGAAGAGAGGAUUAGGCCAUUCCCAAUGCAUUGUCCCUGAGGUGUUUUUUCUUAGCCCAAAAUGCCAAUAAACCACAUCCACAUAUUAAGUUGGUAUCUAAAGUAUCAGUUAUUUAAUAGUUUUGUGAGAGAGAGAGUUAAUGACUUUAUGUUGGUUUGCGUGAAGAAACUGUCGUUAGCAUAAGAGACAGUUUCAUCAUUAAAAAGGCAAUAUGUCAGCAAAAUGCUUAAGAUGACGUGCUAAGAGACUAGCAUUGGGAGUGACCUUAGAAGAGAUCAUUCCUAGUUUUCCGCACAAAACAUCACAACUUUUAAUGGUAGAAGGGUUUGUUUAGACUUGACAAUUAAAAACACCUCUCAUACUAAACACUACUCCCUCCAAUCUUAAAUUAUUGUCAUUGUUUUAUUAUUUUAGUUCAACCACAACAAGAACUCAAGAAUUUAGGAUCAGAGUAAGUAGUAUUUUAGGGAGAAGGUUUUUUUUUUUAGAAAACACCAAACCCCUUCAAAUAUCAAAUCACUAGUGAAUAAAAAAUAACCAAUGCCAAAGAAGGCCUUAGGGCGCUCAUCUUCCCUCCCAAAAAGCAACCAAACACAAGAAAAGACCAACCAUGUGCAUGCCCUCUAAAAAGAAAAGCAACCAUGGGCAUGAGUUUGUGUAGGGCAACCAAACACAACAACCCCUAAAUAGUAAUGGAGAUGAGCAAGCACUAUCAUGAAUUUCGUCCAUGUUGCCAUCCAUAAGAGCAAUAGAAUAUUUUUCUCGAACACGCCGAUCGACGUGUCAUUUUCAUUGAGAAGAAAGUGCAUGAAACACAAGUACAAACAAAGGCAAUAAAAACGAGCCCCAAAGAGGGCUCAAAGAAAAGAAGAAGGAACGAAAAAGGCCAAAGGUCACUAUAAAGGAGCAGAACUAUAGACAAUGAGAAGAUUUGUACAAAUUGGUAAUACUCAAUAAUGCUAAGUUCUGGAUGAUUACACAUAGAGUAGUUCCUAAAUGGUAAGACACUAUAUGUUUUGAAAAAAAAAAAUCUAUUGCACACGAAGGGUCGGUGACUGUGGGUAGUGUUAGUUGAGCAUGUAUAUUUGGCUUAUUAGAGAAUGCCGUGGGGCUCAACCUAGUCCUGUGCAUAGGAAUGACUAGCUAAGUGUCGGUGUGCUGUUGAUUAGUCCACCAGCUAAGUGUUUUACAAGUAAGGAAUUUGUCUUCCUUUUUUACCUCCCCCCUAUUAAGCGUUAUUUUUUAAAAAAAAACUGAUGCUAAUUGUACACAUGUAAGAAUAUGCUAAUUGUGCCUCCCUUUGGUUAGGAUUAAAUGUGAAUUUUGACUUUUGCCUAAAUAAUGUAUUCCCUCCGUCCAACAAAAGAUGUUUCAAGUUUGUCAAAAUUUGAAUGUAUUUAGGCAUGACUUAGUAUAUAGAUGCAUUCAAAUAGUUGAAAUUGUGUAACUAAUAGUAUGAAAAUGUGUUUAUGUGGUUAAAUUUUGAAAAGUUGUGAUUUUCUCACACGCAACUCCUAAUUAUAGAGGUUUAUUGAUAUUCUACUCUUAGAUUUACUUCAGAUGAUGUUGCAUGCAUGAUUUGUUUUAGUACUCAUACUUUUUUCUUUGGAAACAAUAAAGAGAGAGAAUAUAUUAAGGAAAAAUGGACUAUUUUUCCGAAAGAAAACCACGUUCCAGUCUCGCUCGCUAAAAAAAAGAACAAAUUUGAGUUGUUCAGCUGCUUACGUUUACGUCAGCCCCAGCUAAAGAAACAAGAAACAAACGGUUUAGUUGUCAUAGCGCCACCCGCGUAAACGGGACGCGCACGCCAUCUGAAUCCCGUUCGAACUCGGAGACGCGUUCCCAGCCGUCCGAUGCCCAUAAAUCUUCCAUCCUAGGGCAAGCCUACCCUCCUUCCGCCGCACAUCUCUCUCAUUUCGCCUUCUUCUCCUUCGCGGCCGAUCCUCGCCCUGCUCUCCACGCGCGCGCACGGAUCCCCGCCUCUGAAUCGCGCUCUGCUCUCCAAUCCCGAUUCGCGCUUUGCGAUCUCCGAUCAUGUCGACAUCGUCCCGCAAGCGCCCGGCGGCGGAUCAAGAACCGCGCGUCGACGGCGGCAAGAAGCGGCCUCGGUACGCUUUCGGGAGCAUCUACGACUACGAGAAGCUCGAAUCCCUCGGGGAGGGCACCUACGGCGAAGUGAUCAUGGCGCGCCACCGCCGCACCAGCAAGAAAGUCGCCGUGAAGUGGGUCCGCGGCGGCGGGGAUGGCGGCCACGGCCCGCCGGACUUCCGCGCGCUAACCCGCGAGGCCGGAUGCCAAGCCGCGUGCCGCGGCCACCCGUCGAUCGUGGAGAUCCUGGAGGUGGUUGGGGACGCCAAGACUGGAGAUAUGUUCAUCGUCAUGGAGCUCGUUGCCGGCGGCCAAAGCCUGCGCGAGCAAAUCUACAGGCCCUUGUCCGAGGAUGUGACCCGCGUGAAGAUGCGCCAGCUCAUCGAUGCCGCCAAGAAGAUGCACGGAGCCGGAAUCAUCCAUCGGGAUAUCAAGCCGGAGAACGUCCUCGUGGGGAUUUUCGGCGGGCUCAAAGUUUGCGAUUUUGGUGCGGCGACGAGGCAGAAGCCGGCCGGGGUGCCGUACGAGGAUUGCCGCGUCGGCACGAUGAUCUACACCUCGCCUGAGCAGCUCUCUGGCAACCGGAACUACGGCUCUGCCGUGGACAUGUGGGCUCUUGGGUGCAUAAUGGCGGAGCUCCUGGGUGGCGAGACCCUGUUCGAGGCGGAGACAGAGAAAGACAUGCUCGCCGAGAUGUCCAAGCUUGGAGAGCAGAUCAGAACCACGGGGAAGCUGGAUUUGGAGUGGUUUGCGGAGCUUUCGGAGGCUGGGCGUGAGAUCCUGAUGGGCCUGCUUGCCUUCUGUCCGGAGGAGAGGCUCACCGCGGCAGAAGCGCUGGAGCACCGGUGGUUCAGCAAGUCCUCUGCUUUCGCCUGAGCAGAGUGCCCUGGCGCUGUCAAUUUGUUCAGUUAGAUCAUCACUCCAGCUUGGUUUAGAUGAUACUCUACUUGAUAGGUGUAGUCCUCGAUGGCUCUGAUUACUGCAUUGCAUUGCAGUGCCCUCAUCGAGUUUAAUCUUAUUCUUUGAUGUAGAUUUAUGUAAGCUUAGUUCUACUUGAUACUUGAUACGAUAGGAACCAACAUUCCUCGUCAUGUAAUUCUUUGAACAAUCAGUGUAGCCUGGAAAUUAAUUGGAAAGAUGAUUUUGUUGAAUGCAGUUCAAUGUCUACUUGUUUUUUAUGAACAAUGUCCAUUUAUUUGCUUUAUCAAUUUGAGCAGGGACCGAUUUUGUUUGUUGGAGCUUAGUUAACUCUUUGAUUUUGGAGAAACGGCACCAUGGAAGCCACAUCAAGCAGGAAUUCCAAGGGAACAUCAUAAUAAAUAGUAUUAAGUGGAGAGUAAAAAAUAGAGAUAAUUGUGCUACUUCAAUCUUGUCCUUCUCUGAAUUCUGCCAUCCUGAGGCGCAUAUCCUGCUUUCUUGAUGCAUUGAUUAAACAGGGAUUAGCCUACUAUGUAAAACGGACAAGAAAGGGUUGCUGUAAGUUGCAGUUGGAAAACAAUGUUGUUUCAGUACUUGCCUUUCUGUCUGCGAAGAAUGUUGUUUGUUUGGAGAACAGUAAACAGUUUACAGACUUAAUGACCACUUUUGUUGUUCACACCGUUUUUUUCAAUAUUCGAUCAGGUCUUGAGAUCAGACUCCAGUAUUUUUACUGCAGGUUUCUUCUGGUCUUUAGUUAACUUUCAGCCUGAGCAUUUCCAAUCUUGAAACGCCUCUGUUCGUAGUGUUGCUCACUCGAGUUCUCAUCCGAGAGCUUCAGUUUGAAUCCUUGCCAAAAAAAAAACGCUAUACUGUUAUGCUGUAAUGAUGUAAGAUGUGAAUUGUUGAAGGAACAUUCUGGACAAAAUAAAGGCUGUUUUUUUAGGUAAAGAAUAAAGGGGGUUGACUGUCAGCCAGACAGCUCUUCUCCUUCUUCUGAAUCUGGGAGUCUGACAGCAAAGCUCUCGCCGGCCAACGAACCCAGGGGGAAGACUUGACUUGAGCAUUAAAAACAAGGAGAUGCGGCAUCGCGACCACAUGGAAAUUGCAGGGAACUAGCCAACAACACCACCUCUCCCCGCUUGUGGCAUUGGGCAAGAGAGUCGCCUCGAGAUUUCCUGCGAUUCUAGGGUAUUUGUUCCUCUGGUCUUGCCGCAGCCGUCGUCUUUGUUCUCCUGUUGCGUUCGAUCAUAUCUGUUAUUUUCCGCAGCUUCGCACGAGAUCAGUAGCGCGUCGCUGCGGUUUGCAGGCGUCGCAGCACUGGAUUCAAGUUCAAGAUCCCAAAAGGUUUCCCCCAAAUGCACUCUCUGUCGGUGGUUUUUAUCAUUGGUCAAAUCUGCUUCGGAAAAGGUUAUGAGUGAAUCUGGAUGCAUUCUUAUUGUUGGGUGAUUGGGGAAUUCGGCCAUGUGUUAAUUGGAGUCUACGAGUGCUACUUGGAUCACUGAUUGGGAAAGGAGAGGAUAGAACGUACAUACAAGUAGUGGUAUGAACAUGCAUAUACAUUCAGAAAAUUUUGUUUAGUGAGCCCGAAGCAGAUGAAUUCAAAGUUUCUUUAGAGGAAAAUGAGUUCCGAGUUGUAUUUACAACCACUGGCGUUAGCUUAGCAAACAGGAUCAACCACAUUGGUAAGACUUAGAUAUUCUCCUGACUGAUCCAAUAUCUGAUCAUUUGAAAAAGAAACUAUGUUGGCACAUAUAUAGUUCUAACUGAUUUUUUCUGAGUAGACAUCAUCUCAGAAUGCCAUAAUUUAUUUAUUGAAUUAUCGGACCGGUACUUCUGGACCAGGAUACUAAAAAGGUAUUUGUAUUUGGACUAUGUAUGUAUAACUGUAUACUGUUGCGGUGUUAAUGAGUGUUUAUUUUUCAACCAAACGAUUUCCUACAAAUAAUAUCUGAUCUUUAAGCUCUUCAACAAGGUACAUUGCUACAAAAGAAAUUACGGAACACCUAAUUUAUAAUGUAAACCCAGAGCAUAAUAUUUUCACAAAUUUUGGUUUAAAGCUCCCGCUUGUAGUGUUAAGCCAGUUCAAGUAAGAAAACAAAUGGUGCUUUUGGCCCCUUGAGUUCCUCCUUGAUCUGUUGUAGGUGUUCCAACUUCCAAGAUUUCUCCUAGUGGUUUCUGCUGCCUAGAUCUGUUGUAGGUGUUCCAACUUCCACGAUUUAUUCCAUUAGAGGAGCUUGUUCACAGGCCUCGUGUCAUGCUGGAGUUUAUAGUCCACCCAUUCAGAACGGAGGAAGACUACCCUAGUGGACUCGAUGUGUACCUUGUGAUUACUUGCUAGAAACGAGAUUCGUUUUUUUUGUGGGUAGCUAGAAACGAGAUUCGUUUUUUUUGUUGUUAUCUACCUGUUAUCUCCUUUCCUCACUUACAUUGUCCUUUUCUCGAACUGCUCCUACAAAUUGUUGUGUUCUUUUUUUAAUUUUGUUCACUUUUUUGUCUCCAUAUUGAUGAAGAUAUAUACAGCUUCCAUGCGUAUAUAUUCAUACAGUAGGUUAAUCAUGACAAUUGAUAGAUGCAGAGCGGACAGUUUUAUAACAUGCAUCUUUUUCGUCUUCUUAUUGGUUAACAUAUACUGUAUACAGCUUUCAUGUAUUUUUGUCUCAUAUGUACGUUUUUUCUCAGAAGGUGAUAAUUGGCAGUUAAAUAGUCCUUUGUCCAUUUUCUAACAUAAUAACGAUUUUCUCUUCGCAGAGAAGGUAAUACUUGAAUAAUUAUCAAGUGAGUUAUGAUCGAGACAAUUCUAGCAGGCUUCACCAAAGAUGUUGUCAAGUCACUUGGCAAAUUAGCCACUGACGAACUGUCCAAAGUACUGUAUGUAAAAAAUGAGAUCGAAAAACUUAAGAGUAAACUUGAGCAUAUCACGACUAUCAUCAUGGAUGCAGAGCAGACAAUUGUACAACAUGCAGCCACCAGGGAUUGGCUGAAGAAACUGAGAGAAAUUACUUAUGAGGCAGAAAACAUAAUUGACCGCUGUAGGAUUGAAGCCGAUAGACCCCAAUCACAACCACAGGUCAGGGGAAAAUGAAUCCUUAACUUGUUUCCUUUUUGUACUUCCAGGGAUAAAUUACGAUUUCUACUAUCUCCGAUCCAAAAUAAGUGGCGCAGUUUUGAACUAGGGUUGAACUAGACUUAGUUCAAACCUGAGACACUUGUUUUGGAUCGGAGGGAGUAUUAUUUUGCCUUUUUUAUUUGAGGAUUUGAUUUGUAUUCAGUGUCCAUAGAGAUUUAUUUACACCUACUCUCAUCGAAGGUCAAUGAUUGUCCAAAAUAUUUGACCUGAAUAUCCUUAGAUUUGAGGCUUCAUCCUAGAAUUCAUCGCUAUCAGCUGAACCUCUAACAUGUUAUAUAUGUUCAGACCAGUAACCACAGCUUAAAGAUGUGAUUAGAGGUAUUGAACAUUCUUCGGAGCAUCUCAGUCCUUUUAGUAGUACCUUACCUGUCACCACAAUAAGUGGAGAACAGAAACUGCAUGGCCCUGUUCAGUACAGACUCCUUUUGCCAGGUGGAAGCAACCUACUGUAGCAUUUCUCCUGAAACUUACACAUGCAGUACUUCCAGUAGUUCAACUUCUAUAACUUUUAUCAAGUCUAUGAAUGAUCACAUCAAGUGAAGUAGGAGACCACUUCAUUGGUUUGUCACAUGCUUGUCAAGUUGUAGUAUGCGUUGAGCCAUGAAAUGCCUAUUAGGUUGCUGGCAAGCCCCUGUAUUUUUGCCGAAAGAGCAUUCAUUUGAGCUGUUCCAACAAAAAUAUGUAUAAAAUGCAUCAACUGCUGAAGAAUAGAGGGAACAACUGUUGCUUGACUUCAGUGUAGGUAGUUCAACAAUAUGAAACUAGUGCUAGACUGAUAUAAUUUCAUAUCCUAAAUAUACCUUAGCAUAUCUAUAUGCUAGAGCAUCUGUAUGUGUGGCCACCUACUGUCAAGACUCAAGAGGCCAAUAAGUCCAAACAAGGUUAUCCUAGGAUUCUUUUUAUGUUUGUAGGAUAAGGAUCUUAGGAUCAUGGGACUAUUCUACCUCUAAUGUCAUGAUUAAUGAUGAAAAAGUCUGGACCACUAUAUUAGAUGUAACUAUGUUACUCUUACCUUUUAGUUAUUACAGUCUGCCAUAGGAUCAGGAUCAGAAUGAUAAGGUCCCGCAGUAUGGAUCAUCAUCGUGAAAAUCUUGGGCACAAGUAAAUAUGACCAAGAUGCCAUAUGAACUGUGAGAAUCAAUAUUAUCUGCUUAAUUUGUUUUACACAAAUAUUAUCCACCAUGAAGUAACUUAAUGUGCUUACUUUGCAAAUCCAGGUCUAAAUGAGUAAACUACACCACAUCGUUCAAAUGUGCAUUUUCUUGUUCUAUAUAUAUCUAGUAGUUGUGGAAAGGGAUUAAACCUUAUCUUUUGUGUACAGGAGUGCAAUCCUUCGUCAGCCUUCAAGUGUUGCAGAGAUGUUGCUAUUAACUACAAGAUUGCAAGCGAUAUACAUGAACUAAAUCAGAAACUGGAUAGCAUUAAAUCAGAAAGCAUGAUGCUCCAUCUAAAUCCAAGACUAGAAGAUAUCAGAUCAGAUGAUGUUGCUCCAGAUCUUGAUUCUGAUAUUGUAGGUCGAGAGGUAGAGAAUGACUGCAACAGUCUAAUCCAGCUGCUACAAAGAGAAAAUACUAUUAGCUGUCGUUUAUUUGCUAUAGUAGGAACUAUUGGAGUUGGCAAGACUACUCUUGCUCGAAAGGUAUACCAUAGGGCAGCAGCCAUGUUUGAGACCAGGUUAUGGGUUCAUGUCUCAAAAGACUUGAAGCAAAUGACAAUGUGGUCAGGUGGGAAGUAUACAAAAGCAGAGACUCCAGAGCAACAGGCAUUAUUGCGCACAUGUUUAGAAGGUAAGAAAUUUGUGCUGGUCAUUGAUGAUGUGUGGGGAGAGGAUGUUUGGGAUGGGCUGUUAGAGGUACAAGCACAACAUGGCACCACUGGCAGCAGAGUCCUUAUAACAACCCGAGAUGAGCGUGUUGCUAGGAGGAUGGGGGCUAUUCAUCUUUACCGUGUGAAGUGCCUGAAUGAGGAUGAUGGUUGGUGGUUGCUUCGUACAAAGUCUUUGCUUAACGAGAACACUGGCAACAUGCAAGAUGUUGGAAGACGGAUCGUCCAGAAGUGUAAUGGACUUCCAAUGGCAAUAAGGAGAAUUGGAUGCUAUCUAAGGGAUGUGGAGCCUCAAGAGAAUGACUGGGAGAGAGUCUACUCGAGCAAUUUCUGUGGGAUUUCUAGGAGGAUUCGAAGUACUAUUAAUAUGAGCUAUCUGGAGUUGCCAUAUUACCUGAAGAGGUGUUUUAUAUAUUGUGCUCUGUAUCGAGAGGGAUUUGUGAUCAACCGGCAGUGUAUCACCCGCCAGUGGAUUGCUGAGGGGUUCAUUGUGACCACACAGAACUCAACGCAGCCGCAAUCUACAACACUUGAAGAGGAAGCUGAGAAAUGUUAUGAGGAAUUGCUGGGAAGGGGCCUUCUUCUGCCUGAAAAUGAAGCUUGUGGUGCGGUGGGAGCAAAGAUGCCUCAUCUUUUCAGGUCGUUUGCACUUCUUCAGUCACAAAAUGAGAACUUCACUGGCAAUCCUGAAGAUAUAGGUGAUGUUUUUAAACCAUGUCGCUUAUCCAUCACAAAUGCAAGUGCAGAAGCCAUCCGGAACGGAAUUAAAAAGCUUAAGAGCUUGAGGACAAUUCUCCUGUUUGGGAGUUCACUAAAUGAAAAGUCCAUGAAUGAUAUUUUCCAGAAGUUCACACACAUAAGAGUUCUGGACCUUGGAAAUACACAUAUUGAGUGUGUUACUGUAAGUUUAGGACGGAUGGCACACCUUAGAUAUCUUAGCUUUGCUAAUACUCAAGUUAGAGAAAUUCCUGGUACUAUUGAGAAUCUGAGGAUGCUGCAGUUCUUAAUUCUGAAGAAUUGUGUUCAUCUCAAUGCCCUCCCUGAAUCUGUUGGCCGCCUAAUAAAUUUGAGAAGCCUUGACAUCUCAGGAGCUGGACUAAAUUGUGUGCCAUUCCGAUUCUCCAAGAUGAAAGAACUCAACUGCUUACAGGGUUUUCUUGUAAGGUCAGCUGGUGCACAAAAUAAAAGUGGCUGGAAGUUUCAAGAACUGAGCUCCUUAACUAAGCUGACAAGCCUCCAGAUACUGAGGCUAGAGAGAACACCCAAUGGGGAACAUGCAAGACAAUCAGCACUGGAGGGGAAGUGUCAUCUCAAAGUGCUUGAGUUAAGCUGCAGCACUGAUGACCAACCAGUGGAGAUUAGUAGAGCUGAGAAUAUUAAAGAUGUUUUUGAUGCACUGAAGCCAGGACCUUCUGUUGUCUCUGUCAAGCUGGUAAAUUAUUAUGGACAUGGAUUUCCAUCUUGGUUAUCUCCGUCUGAUCUACCACUGCUGCAGCGGCUGACCCUUGAUGGCUGCCUGUAUUGCCAAUGUUUACCAUCUCUGGGACAGAUGAAGAAUUUGAAGUUCCUUGCGAUAGUUGGUUCCAAUUUGUCAUCUACCAUUGGCCCUGAGUUCCGUGGGACACCAGAAAACGGGGUGGCUUUUCCGAAGCUAGAGCAGUUGAUCAUCAGUAAGAUGAGCAACUUGAAGUCAUGGUGGGGCCUUGAAGGAGGAGAUAUGCCUUCACUCAUAAAUCUCAGGCUUGAUGGAUGCUCCAAGCUGGAUUCACUUCCCCACUGGCUCGAGCAUUGCAUGGCAUUGACAAGCUUACAGAUAGAUCAUGCCGAUAGCCUGGAAGUUAUUGAGAGCUUACCUGCACUUAAACAACUUAGAGUUCAGAGGAACAAAAAGCUGACAAGGAUCUCAAACCUCAAAAGGCUUGAAGAUUUGCAAGUUUUGCAUUGCUUGCUUCUGAAACAUGUACAAGGUGUCCCGUCGUUACACAAGGUUCAUUUAGAUGAAAGAAAUUCAACUGAACUUCCACAUUGGCUCCAUCCACAACCACAAGAACCAUUCAUCCUCAGGAGAUUGGAGAUUGUUGGCGCUGAAGAGCUACUUGACAGAUGCUCAUCUGCUAGUAGCCAAUACUGGUCUGUCAUCCAAAAUGCUG
rnacentral:lncRNA from 1 species